UGAUAAUUAUAGGUAUGUUCUCUCUCCCUUUCUUACAAUAAGGAUAGUAGCAACAAAAAUUACUACAUGUUCUAUAUUGAAAGGAAAAACAAAAAAAUGAUGGUGAAUUAAGAUUUAUUUUGUAUGGUAGAAUUUUAUUUGCCACUUACCAUGCUAGAUCUUUCCAAGAGGAGUAAAUUUGAAAAUGUCGAAAUAGACCCUCUGCUUGAAACAUAAACCGCGAUGUAUGUUAUACACAUUGAAAAGGUAUGAAUGUGUAUGUUGAAACUUAAGCCUAUACACUUUCCAAGAGAAUUUCUGUAUGUUAUCUAUUUGGUUUUUGGCUUUAAGUUUUUGAAACUUAAGCCUAUACACUUUUUUUACCUCUACUUUUUAUCAACGUUUUUAAACUAUAUUUUCUUCCUAUGACUACCUUAUGACAUUUUGAAUAAUUGAUUGAAUUGAGGAUUAGCAGAAAGUUCUCUUACUUCAAGGACGUUGUCGUUAUUUGUUCAAGUAAGUAGUGUCUACCUCCCUACCAAAAUACAUAUUCAACUAUUGUGGUUUAAAGUAUAUUUUGUAUAAUUCUAGUCUCGUUGAAAGUGUUUUAGUCUAAUUAGUAUGGUAUAUUAGUAGUAUAUCAACGUUUGCUUGAAUUAAUAUCAUCCAAAAUCUUCAUAGUAGUUCUUUCCUUACUUUGAAAGAUCUUGUUGUUCCUUUCCAACAAUAGUGUUGGAAAUUGGGGGGAGGGGGGAUUAAGGGCUUUAUGAGAGUUAUCAACUCAACUUUGUCAAAUUGUCAUGUAAAUGGAGUACGAUUUAAUCAUUGAACAUUUUUUCAUACUUAGGGCUUGAAGAAUCCUCGAGAGAGUGACAGUGCUUGUUGAAUUUUUAUGAAAAUGCAACAUUGAAAAGGUUGAUGAGUUUCCAAUUUCAAAAGUCUACCUAAAGCUCUAUUGUUUGUUUAACUCAAAGGUAAAAAAAAGUAAAGUAUUUGGACUUGCACCGAAUAGAGCCAUGGUAAGUUUCCAAUUUCAAAAGUUUACCUAAAGCUCUAUUGUUUAUUGAUGAGUUUCCAUAGAAUUUUGAAGGUUUGAGAAGAGUUGUGGAAAUUUGGGACAAUACCACCCUCCUUACUUGUACUUAUUCUCAUUCUUAUUAAGUACUUUUUCUAACUACGUUUCUUUGGCCCCUCAAGGAUAUGUCAAACUGUUCAACUUUAAGGACUACAAAUUGUCAUACAUGUAUUGUCGUAGCGUUUUUGUUGUAAGGACUAGGAACGACCCAACUUUAAGGACUACAAAUGGUUAUUUUGCUCUACUUUAAACAUUGUGAACUUUUCAUUGAUGAAAUUUGCAUACCUUAGACAUUUUCUUUUUGAAGUACCUUUCUUACCAUGGACAAUAGUGCAGUAAGCCUAGGGAGGUUGAUGAAAAAUAUUCAGGAGUGGUUGUAUAUAUAUUGGUUUGAUGUGCCCUAAACCUCAACCCUAUCUAGUGCUUUAUGCACACAUACACACACUUGAACUCUCUGUAUUUGUCUCUUUUUGUCUCCAUGAAUAAUGAGAAGUCAAUACAAACAGAUGAAUUCUCUGUUUGGUUCUCUUUCUCUAUCUCGAUGUUGGAGAAAAGCUAAAUAUUUGAGGCAUUGAUUUCAGGAAUUGGUGCAAGGGUUUGAUCAAGAGGCUGCUGCAGUUGUUGUGGCAAGAUUAACUUCAUAAAAAAUGGAGAUAGAGGUUCAACCAGAGUCGACAACUUCAUGAGUUUUCUUUCAAAGAACAUUUUCAGAGACGAACAUUCUCAGUUGGUCGUUUAUGCUUUUGCAGAAAAUCUUGUUAGAUGUAUUCUAAUGCUAUUUAAAAUAUUUUUUGAUUAAGGGUUGAUAUUCUGUAGUUGUAAAUUGUUGACACUUGAUUGAAAAUGUACGAAUAUUAUAAAUUGUAUUAUAUCGUAUAUAUAUUAAAGUGUUGACUACUUUUUUCUA